UUCAGAGGUCUCGAGCGUUGUUCGGAUUUACUGGGCGUAAAGGGAGCGUAGGCGGCCGGGUGCGUCGAAUGUGAAAGCCCACAACUCAACUGUGGAAUGGCAUUCGAAACUACCUGGCUAGAGUACUGGAGAGGAGAGCGGAAUUCUUGGUGUAGCGGUGAAAUGCGUAGAUAUCAAGAGGAACACCGGUGGCGAAGGCGGCUCUCUGGACAGAUACUGACGCUGAGGCUCUAAAGUUAGGGGAGCAAACAGGAUUAGAACCCUGGUA
rnacentral:rRNA from 1 species